rnacentral:rRNA from 1 species
AGUGAACGCUGGCGGUAGGCCUAACACAUGCAAGUCGAACGGCAGCACAGUAAGAGCUUGCUCUUACGGGUGGCGAGUGGCGGACGGGUGAGGAAUACAUCGGAAUCUACUUUUUCGUGGGGGAUAACGUAGGGAAACUUACGCUAAUACCGCAUACGACCUACGGGUGAAAGCAGGGGAUCUUCGGGCCUUGCGCGAUUGAAUGAGCCGAUGUCGGAUUAGCUAGUUGGCGGGGUAAAGGCCCACCAAGGCGACGAUCCGUAGCUGGUCUGAGAGGAUGAUCAGCCACACUGGAACUGAGACACGGUCCAGACUCCUACGGGAGGCAGCAGUGGGGAAUAUUGAACAAUGGGCGCAAGCCUGAUCCAGCCAUACCGCGUGGGUGAAGAAGGCCUUCGGGUUGUAAAGCCCUUUUGUUGGGAAAGAAAAGCAGCAGGUUAAUACCCCGCUGUUCUGACGGUACCCAAAGAAUAAGCACCGGCUAACUUCGUG